AGCGAACGCUGGCGGCAGGCCUAACACAUGCAAGUCGAACGAACUCUUCGGAGUUAGUGGCGGACGGGUGAGUAACACGUGGGAACGUGCCUUUAGGUUCGGAAUAACUCAGGGAAUCUUGUGCUAAUACCGAAUGUGCCCUUCGGGGGAAAGAUUUAUCGCCUUUAGAGCGGCCCGCGUCUGAUUAGCUAGUUGGUGAGGUAAAGGCUCACCAAGGCGACGAUCAGUAGCUGGUCUGAGAGGAUGAUCAGCCACAUUGGGACUGAGACACGGCCCAAACUCCUACGGGAGGCAGCAGUGGGGAAUCUUGCGCAAUGGGCGAAAGCCUGACGCAGCCAUGCCGCGUGAAUGAUGAAGGUCUUAGGAUUGUAAAAUUCUUUCACCGGGGACGAUAAUGACGGUACCCGGAGAAGAAGCCCCGGCUAACUUCGUG
rnacentral:rRNA from 1 species